rnacentral:tRNA from 1 species
CGGGCUGUAGCGCAGUCUGGUAGCGCACCUGCCUGGGGGGCAGGGGGUCGUGGGUUCGAAUCCCGCCAGCCCGA